AUUGAACGCUGGCGGCAGGCUUAACACAUGCAAGUCGAGCGGAGAUGAGGUGCUUGCACCUUAUCUUAGCGGCGGACGGGUGAGUAAUGCUUAGGAAUCUGCCUAUUAGUGGGGGACAACAUUCCGAAAGGAAUGCUAAUACCGCAUACGUCCUACGGGAGAAAGCAGGGGAUCCUCGGACCUUGCGCUAAUAGAUGAGCCUAAGUCGGAUUAGCUAGUUGGUGGGGUAAAGGACCACCAAGGCGACGGUCUGUAGCGGGUCUGAGAGGAUGAUCCGCCACACUGGGACUGAGCCACGGCCCAGACUCCUACGGGAGGCAGCAGUGGGGAAUAUUGGACAAUGGGGGAAACCCUGAUCCAGCCAUGCCGCGUGUGUGAAGAAGGCCUUAUGGUUGUAAAGCACUUUAAGCGAGGAGGAGGCUACUGAGACUAAUACUCUUGGAUAGUGGACGUUACUCGCAGAAUAAGCACCGGCUAACUCUGUGCCAGCCGCCGCCGUAA
rnacentral:rRNA from 1 species